GACGAACGCUGGCGGCGUGCUUAACACAUGCAAGUCGAACGGAAAGGCCCUGCUUUUGUGGGGUGCUCGAGUGGCGAACGGGUGAGUAACACGUGAGUAACCUGCCCUUGACUUUGGGAUAACUUCAGGAAACUGGGGCUAAUACCGGAUAGGAGCUCCUGCUGCAUGGUGGGGGUUGGAAAGUUUCGGCGGUUGGGGAUGGACUCGCGGCUUAUCAGCUUGUUGGUGGGGUAGUGGCUUACCAAGGCUUUGACGGGUAGCCGGCCUGAGAGGGUGACCGGCCACAUUGGGACUGAGAUAAGGCCCAGACUCCUACGGGAGGCAGCAGUGGGGAAUAGUGCACAAUGGGCGGAAGCCUGAUGCAGCAACGACGCGUGCGGGAUGACGGCCUUCGGGUUGUAAACCGCUUUCGCCUGUGACGAAGCGUGAGUGACGGUAAUGGGUAAAGAAGCACCGGCUAACUACGUG
rnacentral:rRNA from 1 species